GUAACCAGAGGCAAUUAAGCACAGCUGAUGGUACUAAUGACAUAUUCUCUUUCCCCUAUAAGAGAGAGGAUGGAACCAGCAGGAAGGGGGAAGUUAAACUAUCUCUGUAGAAUGGCUACCAAGAGAGGGGAGCAUUUCAAGAAGAGCCAUUAAGCCGGUGACAAAUCUUUGGGACACCUGAAAAGGGGCUGAGAUACAGGACUGUCCCAGGAUUACAAGUGCAGCCACAUGGAAAAAACGUGUUUAAACCACGACACAGAGAUUUCUCUGGAGACAUAAUAACAAGUGAUCCAUACCACCAGAGGGAGGAAGGGCACCUGUAUCAGUGAUUUUUACCGGAUAGAUAAUCUACAGAGAUAUACUGUAGCUCCCCAUGUACUCUCUCAAGAUUGUGCUUUUCUAUACCAGAUAUUGUAUGACUAUGUACAAAACCAAAAUCACCUUAUUUUUGUGCAUAUCAAAAUCUGCUGAUGGUAUACAAAGUCUGCCAAUCUCAAAAUGUAUAUGGCCAAGGUAAGCAAGCCCGGGUAAAAUUAACACACUUACAAAGAGGGAAAGACACAGGAGUGUAGUGGAAAAAUGAUAGAAGACUAUACUCGCGACUGGCAACUUGCAAGCGCCUAGGCCCAGCGUGAUGACUCAUUGACAAUUAAAUUACAUUGUUUGAAUGGAAGACCUUCUGUGGGCUAUCACACUGGUCAAACACACCUUAUCUGUGGCUUUCUCCGGGGAGGGAUGUUCCCUCAAAACCCUGGGACACCAUUGGAGGUGAAAUCGUCAAAAUGAAUGUUACUGUGUGAAUUAAAUUGUCAUGUUUGGAUUGUUUCCAGAGUUCAUAAAGAGCUAUGCAUUUUGUUAUGUUUUAUUGUACUGUAAGUGCCAUGGAUUUAUUGUUACAGGGAAACUGAUUUUGUUCGGCGGAUGUCAGUUCAAAGAGGACAGUUCAAAGAGGAGCGACACAGUGUGUGCGCUCCUAUCAUUUAAAUUGAGUCGAUUAGAUUAGAAUCUGGGUGUGUUGUUCCUGUCUAUUGUUUUUACUAGCACAGUGCAAAGAAUUGUUAAUUCAGGUUGGUGCUGAGUUCCUACUUCGUUGUUUAAAAGGAACAUGGAUUUCUUCAUACUAUGAGAAGUUGUUAGCAAGCUCCUGUGUGUAUCACACACUGUUUUUUUCUGAACUGAAAGCAUGUGUAACCACAUUAAGUCUUAGCCUAUUGGUGAUAGUCGUUUACUCCGAGUAGUC
rnacentral:lncRNA from 1 species